rnacentral:rRNA from 1 species
UAUUGCACAAUGGGGGAAACCCUGCUGCAGCGACGCCGCGUGAGUGAAGAAGUAUUUCGGGAUGUAAAGCUCUAUCAGCAGGGAAGAUAAUGACGGUACCUGACUAAGAAGCCCCGGCUAAUUACGUGCCAGCAGCCGAGGUAAUACGUAGGGGGCAAGCGUUAUCCGGAUUUACUGGUUGUAAAGGGUGCGUGGGUGGCAGGGCAAGUCAGAUGUGAAAGCCCGGGGCUCAACCCCGGUACUGCAUUUGAAACUGCCCAGCUGGAGUGCAGGAGAGGUAAGCGGAAUUCCUAGUGUAGCGGUGAAAUGCGUAGAUAUUAGGAGGAACACCAGUGGCGAAGGCGGCUUACUGGACUGUAACUGACACUGAGGCACGAAAGCGUGGGGAGCA